AGUAGGUUUCCAAGAGCACAAAGUUGUGUGCUCAGUGAGGAAGAAAGCAGGAAUUGCUUGCCCUUGCAAGUUAUGGUCACGUCAGGUGCAGCAGAAGGCCCCGGCCAGACACUGCUCAGCAGGCUCAAGGCUUUACAGCAAGUGGGGCAGGGCAGAAAGGCUGUCUUCAUGAAGCCAUAUCGCAGAAGUAGUUGCAGAAGCAUCCCAGUGCUGCCUGGCUUCCGUCAUUGUGCCAUCAGACUUCGUAGCCUCUUCACUGAAUCUAAUGCUUACGUGCUACCUUGAGAAGCUCAGCCAUGCCCGCUUCUUUUCCCAUUUGUAAGGGCAAAUGGUGGGUCCUUUGCCUUCCUGCAAGCAAUUCCACAUGUUGUUAAGCUUGUGUAGCUCAGGUGGCUUUUUAUUGCUGAUGUGAUUUUUUUUUUCUAAUAUUGGGGUGCCAAGGGAUUAUGCUGCAAAUGGAAGUAAAUUUACCAUGCUACAUUUUUUUUUCUUGUUUAUACAUCUAAGGAUCACUUUUUAGUUAUUAGUGCCUUAUUC